rnacentral:lncRNA from 1 species
CUCGUAGGAAAUGGUGUUCUCGUAAGUCAGGCUGCCCCAGUGAAGCAGCCGCAAGCUUUGCUUAGUGCUCAGAGCUUUCACUUGCAUUGCUGGCGCUGCCGGGAGCCUCCAAGGACUGAACUGUCCACUAGCUCCGGGUGCUGAAUGCGUUCAACCAUUUUGGGAUCUGUUGCUGUGAGUGACAUCUAUUCCAAGCACCCAGAGAGAACUAAUGGAGGACACAGAUGGGAAUAGGAUGCCAGGCAAGCACAGAGGAAGAAAUCAGGGAAUCACCAGGACUGGAAGUACAGCAGCCAUUGGAUAAUGGGACGGGAUCAGUCGGCAACUCUGUGGAUUCUCCUUCUCCUUCCUCUGUAGGGGAAAUAUAGUUAUGGAUUUAUUGCCCCGGUGCAGCAGUUCCAGCAGCAGCCGCAGCAGCAACAGCCUCAGCAGAUUUCUGACUCUCUUCGGUGACGGGUAUUCUUGGGUGGAUAAUACGGAUUACGUUGUUAUUGCUUAAGAAUACGCGUAGUCGAGGAGAGUACCCGCGGCAGGCAGGCAGGCAGCGGCCGCCCCCAGCCCAGCAGCUGGCUCCUAAUCUACUAUAGUUGCCAAGGUAGCCCCUUUUUAAUCUUUUCCUGCACUUUGCUAUGUCUCUAUGUCUGUGAUU